rnacentral:lncRNA from 1 species
GAAAGACCUCAUAUAUUAAAUCAACAAUGUUGUUUUACAAAGAAAACAUUGUUGCUUUACAAAGAACGCUAUCAGCUUGUACACAUGUGUUUUACAAGAACAUGUGCACUCUAUACAGAAACAGGUCGAAGCUUCCUUGAAGGAAAGAAAAAAACUAAGCUCAUCACAUGAGCAUCUAGACUGACAUGUUCAGCCUUCAUUAACUAAAACCAAAAUCAUCAGUUUCUCCUGGCAUCCAUAACUCCAUAUCCUGAAGAUAGUUCAGGCCAAUUGCAGCUAUAGUAAACUGCAUAUGCUUCAUCUCUCUGCUAGCAAUGAAUGAAAUACGAACAGUUAAUAUAGUACUUUGGGUAAUAAUAAGUUCUCGAUGAUUUUAGGUACAAGUACCAGCCAAGAAUUUCUUUCUUAUUUCGAGGUUAUCCCUUUGGAGUUAUGUAAAAAUUUAGAUUCACACAAUAUAAGCAAAGGAAAAACAUGCAAGUAACAAAAAAUAAUUGAGGCAAUAUUCCUGUAAAUUUGGUAAAGUGAAUGCCCAGCCACAUAUUCAAUUAAUAAUGUUGACUGCAAUGGGUGAACAGAUUGUGCUAAAUGCGGAAGAGAUGAUAAAGCUAACCACAACUUAUGCUUGUAAAUACUGGGUCAUGUUCAAUUAUACAAUCAGAAAUUGUAGGAAACAAAAUACAAAUUAGAAAAGGCUCAAUGUUACUUUGGAGCUUACCUUUUUAUUGGUUUGCACUUCCGAAGUCAGAGCAUACGCAUAGGCACAGAGUAGUUGUUACAGUUAAUUAUCCUACAAUCAUAUGCAUCAAUAAUCAAGAUUCUUGAGAAAGAGAAAGAGAAAGAUUCUUGAGAAAGAGAAAAAAAUUACUAUUGCACAACAUGAAAAACACAUACACAAAUUACAAUAGAAAUUACCUCUAGUGAUAUUAUUUUUCUAAUCAAGAAAUCACAUCUGAAAUAAUCUAGAAAGAGUUGGCACCAAACUAAUCAAUCUUUUCUAAAAUGAUAUCAAAUACAUGGGUAAACGUUCUGGGGGAGAGAGAUCAAUCUAAAUGAACAAUUAACAUGACAUAUAAAGAUGAAUCCAUAUACACACGCCACCUGCACAAACAAAAAGAGAGAAGGGAUGAAUGAACACCACACCUACAUGACGUCAUUGACGUACUGCCAUCAUCGCUGGUCAUAUUUACCUUCCCAUCUUGCAG